rnacentral:rRNA from 1 species
UCGGGAAUUUUGGGCAAUGGGGGAAACCCUGACCCAGCAACGCCGCGUGAAGGAUGAAGUAUUUCGGUAUGUAAACUUCGAAAGAAUAGGAAGAAUAAAUGACGGUACUAUUUAUAAGGUCCGGCUAACUACGUGCCAGCAGCCGCGGUAAUACGUAGGGACCAAGCGCUGUUCGGAUUUACUGGGCGUAAAGGGCGCGUAGGCGGCAUGACAAGUCACUUGUGAAAUCUCUGGGCUUAACCCAGAACGGCCAAGUGAUACUGUCGCGCUAGAGUGCAGAAGGGGCAAUCGGAAUUCUUGGUGUAGCGGUGAAAUGCGUAGAUAUCAAGAGGAACACCUGAGGUGAAGACGGGUUGCUGGGCUGACACUGACGCUGAGGCGCGAAAGCCAGGGGAGCAAACGGGAUUAGAUACCCCAGUAGUCCCUGAGCGGGCUGGCAAGGCGCAU